rnacentral:rRNA from 1 species
UACGUAGGGGGCGAGCGUUGUCCGGAUUCAUUGGGCGUAAAGCGCGCGUAGGCGGCUUCGCAAGUCGGCCGUGAAAUCUCCGGGCUCAACUCGGAGGGGUCGGGCGAGACUGCGAGGCUCGAGGUGGGCAGAUGGCAGUGGAAUUCCGGGUGUAGUGGUGGAAUGCGUAGAGAUCCGGAGGAACACCAGUGGCGAAGGCGGCUGCCUGGGCCUGGCCUGACGCUGAGGCGCGAAAGCGUGGGGAGCAAUCCGG